UCGAGAAUCUUUCGCAAUGCCCGAAAGGGUGACGAAGCGACGCCGCGUGCGGGAGGAAGGCCUUCGGGUUGUAAACCGCUGUCGGGAGUUAAGAAAUGCAAGGAUGUUAAUAGCGUUCUUGCUUGACUAAGGCUCCGGAGGAAGCCACGGCUAACUCUGUGCCAGCAGCCGCGGUAAUACAGAGGCGGCAAGCGUUGUUCGGAAUUAUUGGGCGUAAAGAGCACGUAGGCGGCUGUGUAAGUCGGUUGUGAAAGCCUUCCGCUCAACGGAAGAACGGCAUCCGAUACUGCAUGGCUUGAGUGUGGGAGGGGAGAGUGGAACUUCUGGUGGAGCGGUGAAAUGCGUAGAUAUCAGAAGGAACACCGGCGGCGAAGGCGACGUCUCGUGGUCCAUAACUGACGC
rnacentral:rRNA from 1 species